rnacentral:rRNA from 1 species
AACGAACGCUGGCGGCAGGCUUAACACAUGCAAGUCGAGUGCCCCGCAAGGGGAGCGGCAGACGGGUGAGUAACGCGUGGGAAUCUACCCAUCUCUACGGAAUAACGCAUAGAAACGUGUGCUAAUACCGUAUACGUCCUUAGGGAGAAAGAUUUAUCGGAGAUGGAUGAGCCCGCGUUGGAUUAGCUAGUUGGUGGGGUAAAGGCCUACCAAGGCGACGAUCCAUAGCUGGUCUGAGAGGAUGAUCAGCCACACUGGGACUGAGACACGGCCCAGACUCCUACGGGAGGCAGCAGUGGGGAAUAUUGGACAAUGGGCGCAAGCCUGAUCCAGCCAUGCCGCGUGAGUGAUGAAGGCCCUAGGGUUGUAAAGCUCUUUCACCGGUGAAGAUAAUGACGGUAACCGGAGAAGAAGCCCCGGCUAACUUCGUGCCAGCCGCCGCAGUAACAC